GAUUAAGUGUCGUAAGGGCAUUUGGUGGAUGCCUUGGCAUGCACAGGCGAUGAAGGACGUGAUACGCUGCGAAAAGCCGUGGGGAGCUGCGAAUAAGCUUUGAUCCAUGGAUCUCCGAAUGGGGCAACCCACCUUAAAUGCUUAGAAAAUC
rnacentral:rRNA from 1 species